CCUACGGGGCGCAGCAGUGGGGAAUAUUGCACAAUGGGGGAAACCCUGAUGCAGCGACGCCGCGUGAGUGACGAAGUAAUUCGUUACGUAAAGCUCUAUCAGCAGGGAAGAAAAACUGACCUUACGGUCAGCAGACGGUACCUGAGUAAGAAGCCCCGGCUAACUACGUGCCAGCAGCCGCGGUAAUACGUAGGGGGCAAGCGUUAUUCGGAUUUACUGGGUGUAAAGGGAGCGUAGACGGAGCGCCAAGUUUGGGGGGAAAGGCCGCCGCAUAACUGCGGAACUGCUUUGGAAACUGGCGAACUAGAGUGCGGAUGGGGUAAGCGGAAUGUCUAGUGUAGCGGUGAAAUGCGUAGAUAUUAGGAGGAACACCGGUGGCGAAGGCGGCUUACUGGACCGUAACUGACGUUGAGGCUCGAAAGCGUGGGGAGCAAACAGGAUUAGAUACCCUAGUAGUC
rnacentral:rRNA from 1 species